GGAUUCAGUCAACUGUUGACGCUUCAGCAAGUCCACAAUGUGACGCGAUGUUGGAAAAAUUAAUAGUCUUGUUCAGGCUUCAGAGGCAACAAUAGGCCUCUGACUAAACAAAGACCCUGAAAGGAGCUACAUACCGAACUGCUGGACUACAUGCAGGUCAGCAGAAACGGUGCUAACAAGUCUUGGGAACCAACAGGUAAGGAAGGGAGUAAGUCACGAAGCUUCCUGGGCCUUGGGAAUCUGGCCAAAUCCCAGGGAUCAGUGAGCAUCCUGAGACUUAUGACUAUGAUAAUAGCCAGAGGGGCAUAUCUGCACGUAAGCUGAUGAUUAUCAGUUUGUAGCUUGGCAUUAAAAGCAGGACUCCUUCGGGCUGCACUCUGAACUCUCAUCCAUGGAGCGGGCACAACAACCGGGACCUUCCAACGGGGACUCCAAAUUGCUGUUCAAGGGACGUCACAGCGUUGCUCGCAUCUGGAUGGAGGUGCUUCCCCAAUUUGGUGAUUGUAAAUACAUUUCUUUCUUACUAUUUUGCUUAUCUCUGUGCCAUAACUAACGUAACAAGCUUUCUUCUUUCUUACUUAAGUGUUGAGGGGUUACUUUGCCAACAAACCCUCGGAACUUGAAACUGAAAGUCAGUCUUUCGGCAAAACACGUGACUACGAAGUAAUCAAAGGCAAUUCAAGCCAGACUUGGAGCAGUCUUCUAAUAUGCCUGCGUGCUGACUGAAGGAGCUGACUUACACAUCAUCUCACAAGCCAGUCUUCCUACAGAAAUCUGUUGCUGAGAUUUGUCAGACAUGGCAUUGUUGCAUACAUAUCACCCAGAAGAAAAGACAAAGCUUCUAUCUAUACCAUCCAAUGGCAAUUGUGGAGUCCACAGCGUACUCAGGCUUGGAUGCUAGAAUUAGCUGCAUCAGGUCUGUAUGAUACUGGGGAAAGUACUUGUAUCAGUCAGAGUCCUGGGGGGAAGUAGAUGGCACUCUAUAUUGGGUCAUUUGGGAAGAUUUUGCUAUUUACAAAAGUGUGUUCACUGUUUGAGAAAAAAAAAAUACAGGAUACUACUGUACAUAAGGGCUGGUAACAAUGGGAAGCUGUUACCAUCCCUGUAACUGAAAGGACAGGGGGAAGGAGCAGUUACCUGACUGAAGAGAGAAAGGGCUUGUGAGAAGAGGACCUCUUGGCUAGUGCCAGAAACAGGGCUGUAGCUGAGACAACCAGGCAGGGAGGGAGGGGGCAGAAGUGUUAGGACCUCACUGGCCUCUGCCCUUCCAUAGCUUGCCUGUGCAUCGCAAGAAACCAACAGAAGCCCAAAGGCAAGUGAGCCUGCUGCCCUCUUAGUGUACAAGGCAAGGCAGAAAAAGGUAAAGCCUAGAGGUGGGUGGAAGAGAUGCAAAUAAAGGUAUUAGCACUUGUUUAGGUAUUUUCAUAGUAUUGCUAUGGGGAUUAAAAAAGUAUGUAAAGUGCUUAGCAGGGAGUCUGGCACUUAGUAGCUGCUCAACAAAGUAAAUUCCCUUGAUUCCUCUGCCCAAACUGACAACUCAAAGGCUCAUACUAAUCACUGAAAACCCUGGACUUAUUUCACCUUAAAAAACCUACACGUACUGUCUAUAAAUGAGUUAUACUGCCAAAAUAUAAUGUAAUAAGUAUAACAUGACGUAAUAGAUUUCUUCUUUAAA